AUAGCGUAUAUUAAAGUUGUUGCAGUUAAAAAGCUCGUAGUUGAACCUUGGGCCUGGCUGGCCGGUCCGCCUCACCGCGUGCACUGGUUCGGCCGGGCCUUUCCCUCUGGGGAGCCGCAUGCUCUUCACUGAGUGUGUCGGGGAACCAGGACUUUUACUGUGAAAAAAUUAGAGUGUUCAAAGCAGGCAUUAGCUCGAAUACAUUAGCAUGGAAUAAUAGAAUAGGACGUGUGGUUCUAUUUUGUUGGUUUCUAGGACCAUCGUAAUGAUUAAUAGGGAUAGUCGGGGGCAUCAGUAUUCAAUCGUCAGAGGUGAAAUUCUUGGAUCGAUUGAAGACUAACUACUG
rnacentral:rRNA from 1 species